rnacentral:rRNA from 1 species
AUGAAGCCGGAGGGACCUAGACCCACCUGGUCCCCCCUAGGCCACAUGCCACAGGAGGUUGCCUCCAUCGCAUCUUUCUUCCGCUGGCUUUAUAUACUCCCAAAAACCUCAGAAAUAUUAACAGAUGAUUUUUGCGCCGCCCACCUCUCUGCUCCGGGGAGAUCCAAUCUGGAGGCUUUUUCAGUAGUUAGUUUCUUCCUCUUUGUCCACAUUAGUAUGCCGAGGAAAGAGCGGCGGUCAGGUGUGGCAUACAUCCACAAUGACAAAGACCGUGAUCUCACCUUCUACAAGCGACGUUCCGGUUUGUUCAAGAGGGCGACUGACAUCUCUGCCCUCACUAGGGCUAGGGUUGCGGUCAUCCUAGAAACAAACAAUGGAAAGAUGCACUCAUUUGGGACGCCAUUGGCCGAUCCCAUUGUUGAUGAUUUCCUAUUUGGAGCUCCACCAGUAGUUCCCUCUGCCGACGAGGCAACCACUGCUAGGAUUGGAAGCCUACAGAACGAGGUGGCUCGGUUGGACAUGGAGAACAUGACCGAGGAAGACAAAAACCAACUUUCCAUCCUUCGUAUGAAAAAUAUACAAAAAGAGAAUCCAGGUAUGGUGGCAAAUCUUAUCUUCACGAAGGAAAAAGAUCUCAGUCUUGAAGAUCUGAACAAGCUCUUCAGUGAGCUCUCUCGGGUCCAAAAAGAUAUUAGAUUCCGGCUACCUCCAUUGCAUGGUCGUGAAGACAAGACCGGUGGCACAUUCACCAUGGCCUCACAAUCUCUCACAACUCCAGCUACCUUUAGAUCCACCACCAUCACAACCAGAACAAACUUUGGGACCACUUUUUCUAUGCAGGUACCAAUGUUCCAUUCUGCACCACCAUCUUUAGCUCCACCCUUGGCUUCCCAUGUCCAACCCAUAACAAAUCAGGUACAUGAGCAAACUCCACCAGAGGAGUUGCAUGUUCAGAACUAUAAAAGUACUUGCAACGUAGUUCAACCACAACAAAAUGACGCAAACCAUGACUCAACAUCCGGGCAGAAUUUGGAGGCCUCUCCACUAUUGGGGUACUCGAGUGGCAAUGCCUUUUCUAUUGAUGACCCAUUUAACACUGAACAAUGGGGUUUUCCUCUAUCAGAUCAGUCGUACUACAAUAGUUUCCCAGGGAUGGAUGCUUACUUAGGCUCUAGCGGUACGGAUCUAGGACAGUCUUCCAUGGUAAAUGGUGGAUGGGUUGAUGUGCCGCCCUCUUCCACUGGACAAGAUAUUGAUAUUCUUACAGACUAUGGAGAGCUUUUGUAG